rnacentral:rRNA from 1 species
UACAGAGGGUGCGAGCGUUAAUCGGAAUUACUGGGCGUAAAGCGCGCGCAGGCGGCCUUUCAAGUCGGUGGUGAAAUCCCAGAGCUCAACUCUGGAAUUGCCAUCGAAACUGUAAGGCUUGGGUACGGGAGAGGGAUGUGGAAUUCCAGGUGUAGCGGUGAAAUGCGUAGAUAUCUGGAGGAACACCGGUGGCGAAGGCGACGACCUGGGUAGAUACUGACGCUGAGGUGCGAAAGCGUGGGGAGCAAACAGG